rnacentral:rRNA from 1 species
AUUGAACGCUGGCGGCAGGCCUAACACAUGCAAGUCGAGCGGAUGAAGGGAGCUUGCUCCUGGAUUCAGCGGCGGACGGGUGAGUAAUGCCUAUGAAUCUGCCUGGUGGUGGGGGGUAACGUCCGGAGACGGGCGCUAAUACAGCAUAUGUCCUGAGGGAGUAAGAGGGGGGUCUUCGCACCUCUCGCUCUCAGAUGAGCCUAGGUCGGAUUAGCUAGUUGGUGGGGUAAAGGCCUACCAAGGCGACGAUCCGUAACUGGUCUGAGAGGAUGAUCAGUCACACUGGAACUGAGACACGGUCCAGACUCCUACGGGAGGCAGCAGUGGGGAAUAUUGGACAAUGGGCGAAAGCCUGAUCCAGCCAUGCCGCGUGUGUGAAGAAGGUCUUCGGAUUGUAAAGCACUUUAAGUUGGGAGGAAGGGCAGUAAGUUAAUACCUUGCUGUUUUGACGUUACCAGCAGAAUAAGCACCGGCUAACUACGUG